rnacentral:lncRNA from 1 species
CACCUUGCUUAUCACCGACACCUCCAAUUUCCGGGCCAUGGUGCAGCAGUUCACCGGGUUCCCGUCUGGGCCGUACUCUUCCAGCUACCGUCCCGGUUUCGGCCUCGACUUCAGUGACCCGCAGACGACCGUGGCGCCGCCGGGGCACCUCCUUCAGCCUACAUACCUCGAGCACCAGUACGAACCUCAUCAACAUCACCAUCAUCGUCGUCAUCCUCAGCAGUAUCAGUACACCCAGACGCCGUUUAGGCUCGACAGGAGCAACGGCAGCAGCCUGCAGCAUGACGCGUUUCUUCGUCAGAGCCUCCACAACUAUGCCAGUGG